UGUCAAAACUAGAUGUUGUCGGCUGCGUUGCGUUCGAAACCUCAUACUUUCUAAAUUAUAGGCACUUAAUUUCUUCAAGUACUUACUUACCGAGCGCUAUGAGAGUAUACAGCCUGAAUGCGUUAAGUAUGAAUGCGAUUCGGAUAUCAUCCGCUAUGUUGACGUUAUCAUGUGACCUACGACGUUAUAACAAGCGCAACAACUUAAAAGAUAUGAGUAACAGGUUUUCAUCUAACUCGUUUGCAAUGUCUGCACAAAGGAUAUGUCGGGCAGCUGCUCGAAGAUCUCGCCUUUGGAGAAGACUGUUGAUUUUAUACUCUAAAAAUAUGGUGAACCCCACAUCCUACUGCCAUCUCAACACAACUGAGACAGUUCUGCUGCUGCUUUGUGCUUCACAAUCUCACUCUUCUCAG